ensembl:lncRNA
GCAUAACUCUAUUUAAAUUCACAUUUCCAUCAUCCCCCAGAGGAGCCGGCGAGAGAGCUGAGCUGCGUGGUAUAAGCCAGCAAAGGAUUAGAUGGGCCCCGCAGAGCCGCUCCGCAGAACCUGAGCUGGCAAGACAGACAUCUUUAACCCCUGGCCUGGAGGGAUGCUCUGCGGAGGUAACAUCAAACCUGCACACACUGGAAAACCCUCGGAGUCUAAGACAAUGGGUCAGCUCCUCAGAUGCCAAGGGAACCUGGGCUCCUUGCCAAGCUGGCCAGCCACUCUGCUCGCAUCUGUGACCAGCUGAGCAGGGGCCCAGAUGUCGGCCAGCAGA